rnacentral:rRNA from 1 species
AGGGAUGCUACCGGGCGACCGGAUGCGGAUCUCGAAAGCCUGUCCCAGUUCGGACUGGAGUCUGCAACCCGACUCCACGAAGUUGGAUUCGCUAGUAAUCGCGCAUCAGCCAUGGCGCGGUGAAUACGUUCCCGGGCCUUGUACACACCGCCCGUCACACCAUGAGAGUCGAUAACACCCGAAGCCUGUAGUCUAACCUUAGGGGGGACGCAGUCGAAGGUGGGAUUGAUAAUUAGGGUGAAGUCGUAACAAGGUAAC